CCGAGCCGCGAGCCCUUCGCGGGGCCGGGGCCCGGGGAGUCCCCGGCGCCGCACGCCCCCACCACCCCCAUCUUAGCGCCCCCCACCCUCUAUGGGGACAUUUCAACCAGGGAAAAGGGAGGUCCUGCACUUGCCCCUCGCCCCCGCCCCCCUCCUCCAACAGGGGAGACUUCUGUCCAAACCUUGGAAAGAAACGAGAUGCCAGGCCUAGCGCCUUCGGGGAUCCUCUCUGGACAAGGCCACAGGGUGAAAACACCAGCACAGUCUGGACCUGGGCGGGGUUUUUAGAGAAGCUUCUGGACACCACUCCACGACAGACCAACCAGGUUGCUGCUGCUUGCAAACAUCGCCUGCAUUGAAGGAUUCCUGUAGCCACCAGCUCUGGAACUUUCUGGAACCAAACCUUUCCCCAGACUGCCUACAAGGACCAGUUUGCUUCUGGAUGUAGGUGUGGCCUGCAGGGGUCUGGCAGGGCUCCCCAGAGUCAAGUGGACCCAGCCCUUUGGAACCCCUCCCUGGUCCUGUUGACUUCUGCCCUCUCCCUGCAGCACUUCCUGGAGGCGUUUGUCGGGGACCUGGGACGACAGCUGGGAAGUGCCUGACGUAUUCUCAAGAAGCUGCAGAUUCCAGACAUCUCUGGGCCCCUCUCUGGACUGGGAUGGGGGACCCAGAGGUGGAGAAGAACACACAAGCAGCACUUGAGGGCUCCAAGGGUGGCGAGGAGAGAAGUUUCUGCUCUGCUACAGCUAGCCCUGGGACCCUGAAUGGUGCUACAAUGGAGCGUCCACCCCCAGCGCCAAGCCCUCAGUGCAGAGGGGAAGACUCAGGCGGCUCUCAGACAGACACAAUUUGCCAAGGUCACACAGCAAGUGAGGGUGCCGCUAAGACUAGGACCUGGAGCUCCGCCUCCUGGCCCAGGCUUCUCAGCACCUGGACCCCAGAGGCCAGCCUGUGGGAGGCCCGCAUGGCCACUGCACCACAAACCAAGGACCUAGUCUGGGUUCACCUCCACCAAGUGCUGGCCGUGAGUCACUUGGGUCACUCCACUCUCUGCAUUAGGCCUCAGUCAUCCAAGACCAUCUUUCAAGGGCCCUCACUCCAAUUAUGAGUCUGGGACUUUCUGAAAUUGAGCAUUUUGGCCAGGCUGUGGGGGCCCUCUGUGGCCACCUGUAAGACACUGCCGAGGGAACUUUCCUCCUCUCACCAGACUGAAGCUAAGAAGUGCUGGAGACAGCAGUUGCUUUAGCCACAGGCUGUGUAGACCACCUGAGGAUGAUCUGGGAGUCUGUUUUGUGCACCUUGGAACCCAUCGGAUCCCUCCAAUGACACAUUUGUCCAGAGCAAGACAAGAUCACACUUUGACAGCCCUCUGUCAAGAUCCUUGCUCCGUAUCUCCAGACUAGCAGCCAGGAGUCUCCAUGCUGUUCUGAAGAAGCAGAUUCCUCAGCUACCCUUCAACUCCUUCCCAGGAGAUAAUCCUCCUCCAAAUCUCUGGAAAAGAUACACCUCCUCUUCUCUGAUAAAGGCUGGGGGGUGAUGCCCCUCCCCCAGGUUCCCAAUAAAGCUGUGCAAGACAGGGGCAAGGGAACUCACGGCCCGUUUUUGCUACAAAAACCCUUUUUCGGAAAAAAUAAUAAAGAAAGGAAUCAGCCAAUCCCUCCUCGAUGCCA